UUCUCUUUAGAGUCUUCUUCUUCUUAAAACUCUAAUUAUGGAGUGGUUUGAUUGAGAUGAAUUGAGAAAGAAUUGAGAAAAUUAUGCUUAGGUGUUUGAAUUUGUAGUUACCUGCAUAAUAUGGAAAAAAAUUAAUCCGUCAAGAUCCGAUUCUGAGAUUUUACUUUGUGGAUUUGAUUGAAAAGGUUAAUAAUCUUUGUAGUGGUUGGAAAAUUAUCUGCACUCGCAAUGUUUCUUUGAAAAAGUUGAUAUUGUUUCUGCUGUAUGGAGAAGGACUUGAUGUUUGAGAUAGGAAGCACAAAUAUGAUUUCCGUUGUUUGCUUUUAUGAAGUGAUGUCCGUUGGAUUAAGAGGAAACUUUGAGAAGUUAUUAUUGCUGCAGGACUCGAAAUUUAUAGUAGAGUGGAUCGACUUGGGUGAGAUUGGACUGGAGUGAUCCUUGUGACCUGACGAAAAUUCCUCUAAUCUACAAAAUCAAUCAAGAAAUCGGAUGGGAAUCCUUCGAUUCUUGACCCUCCGAUGCUUAAAUCAGUUCGAGCUUGGAGAAUAGGGAUGAAAAAGAAUGGAAGAGCAAGAGAGAUUGAGUAGAACUGAAGGAGAACUAGAUGGAAGCCAAGAGUCUGACCUAAUUUCCUACCGGCAGAAUAUCUUCUAAUUUCAGAGAGCAGAACUUAUCGAUGAAAGAUUCUUAACCCUUUAUUUAUAGAGGAGUUGAGGAGGUAAAUUCAGAGUUUGUUAGAUCAUUAGAGGAGUGUUAGACGGUUAGAGAGCCACCUGCAAGUGAGUUGACUUACAGCUGUGCAUUUGAGCUUGACAUGAGAUCGUGGCCAACUGUGAUCUGGUUGAAGAAACCACCGCGAGCGUUCGUAGAAUGAUUAAGUUCAUCAGUAUAAUAGUUCAUCUCGAUAGAUGAUCGGGGUGAAAUAGAGAUAUUCUAAUUCUUUCCGGAUAAGAAGGCUUGGGGUUCAGGUCGAUAGAUAUCCAAUCUGAAUAUUUUUUUUAUUAGCUAAAAUGUCAUCUGGUUAGAACACAAGGGUGUUCUUUAUUCAGGUCGGCGAAAUAUCGAGCUGAAUCUACUAAUCGGCAAAUUAGUCUGCUGGGAUCCGGUGCUUUCAGAUUGACAUCUCUUUGAUCUCGUAUGAUGAUGCCACAUGUUUUGAGGCUGGUUUAAUGCACCAAUAUUUUGCCUCCCACUUCUUAUGUUCGAGGUGAUAAUCCUUUGAUUGGAUUAGGAGGUAGAAGUAUUUUCAUAAGGUUGGGUUCUCGUCAAUUUGGGAGGCGUUUGUCAUAGAGAUCAGAUUUUACCGAUCAGAAGAUCUUAUCUCCAUACUUGAAUUUUAGCUCGGUUGUUCAUUGACUAGGAGAUCUUAUCUUCGUGUUUGAAUUUUCGAUCUGAUUUUCACUGAUCAAGAGAUCUUAUCUCUAUAUUUGAAUUUUGGCUCGGUCGUUCACCGAUCAGAAGAUCUUAUCUCCGUGCUUGAAUUUUUGAUUCAGUUUUCACCAAUCAAGAGAUCUUAUCUUCAUACUUGAAUUUUGGCUCGGUCGUUCACCGACCAAGAGAUCUCAUCUUUGUGUUUGAAUUUUUGAUUCGAUUUUCAUCGAUCAGGAGAUUUUAUCUCUGCAUUCAAAUUUUGUCUCGAUCAUUCACCGACUAGGAGAUCUUAUCUCCGUGUUUUACUUUGAGACUUUUCGGACUGGUGUUGUCGCCGUCUGGAAUAAAUGCGCCACACCUCGAGAGCAUAAAAAUUAAUUACUUGGUUGAAAACGAAGAGACUUGAUCUUUCAAAAAAUGAUCCGCCUGAUCUUCUAUCAUCAUUGCUUGGAUGGACGAUUUGAAAAUAUCAAAUAAGAGUGUGACAUCUGUCAAUGUCUGAUUGGUUUAUUAGCUUGGGCAUGGAUCGGUCCGUCAUGGCAGAAUCUGGAGAAAGUUGUACCUAACUGCCGUCUGAUCGAGCAUUGGAUUAACGCCAGGUGUCACAAAUCGGCAAGAAGAUCAGUUAAUCCAGGCCGUCGGUUUGCCUAUAAAACGCUUUUGCCCCCCAAUCACUGUUUAUUUCUGCUGUUACUGUGUGAAGGUGCUGCCAAAUUAUUUUCUGAAGCUUUCCUGCAUUGAACGGCCAUCGGAGAUAGUGAGAACCUUCGUUGGAGCGGGAGGAAAAAGAGUUCAUUCUCCAUCUUUUGGGAGGAUUUCAUUUGUCUCUUAGGUAUCAGUCCUCUCUCAUUUGUUCUCUUUCAGUCAUAGAGUAGCCCUUCUUUCUCUUUCGAUUCUUUUCAUUUUUUCAUCACAUUUUUCUCUGAGAAAUAUGUCCAAGUGAGGUAGAGAGGGGAAAAAGACCGUAGGUGAUUCACAGGUUAUGUCGAUCCGGCCCUUAUUGGCCAUUGAGGUAGGAAAUCCAUCCCGAAAGAACCCUGAAAUCGGUCCCAUAUGUGAGGGGAGUUCGGAUCACAGCACAGAAUUUUCUGUGCAUGGUCUCACGGACUACCUUAGUCCAGAGACAGAAGAAUCCAUUUUGAUCGAGGAGAACUUCCUAACCUUUAGGAAAAAAUAUAAUAUAUCCGAUGAGUAUGAAAUGAUAUUAUCGGAUCUGGAAGGUCGGGUAUCUGAGCCUCUCGAGGGUUGCAUAGUUUUCUACAACGAGUCCCUUCGAUCUGGCCUGCAGUUCUCACUGCACCCCUUUUUCAGCAACAUCUUUGAUUUUAUAGAGCCCAUUCCACUUAAAUAACUCCAAACGUAAUUAAGAUGAUUAUAGUAUUCAUAAUCAUGUGUAAUUUUCUUCACAUAGAUCUUAGGAUCUCCCUAUUUAGAUCCUUGGUCCUCUUGAAAUGACAUCCGAAUGAGAAGAGUUGAUGGUAUUUCUCAUCUCGAAAAAAUCAUAAAUUUGGACCUAGCCUUCCCUCUUCGAUUCACGGCUGGAAAUGCCAUUUUUUCUUCAUUCGGGCUCCUAUUCCAUGGGGUUUUAGGACUUCCUAGGAAUGUCCGGACACCAAACACAACUCUAAUGAUGAAAUUCUCUCCGGAGAAGAGGUGGCUCAUUCCACCCUGAUUACUACCAAAAUACCCAAGUUAUCUUUUCUGAUAAAUGAUCAGGCAUUGUAUGGUGCCGGUAUCAGCCUGUAUUCUCCUUGGAGUAAGAUCGAAAUAUUUUAUUUUUCAACUUUAUCAUUUUUUUACUGUCUUUAUUAUUCUGAAAUGCCUGUCUAAUGCAGAAAUGAGAUUCAAUCCGACGAAGGUAGAGGAGAGGAAGAGGAAGGAUCAACCAAAGCCAUCUGCUACUGAUCCUGCAUCGAAAAGAGUUAAAGGUGCAGUGCCUCCCCCCGCCUAAGCGGCAUCCUGAUUUUCUUCGGCGACCCCUUCUCCAGCUAACUCGGGGAGGAGUGAAGCCUCCCGGGGACCACAAAAUCUCUCCGAGCCUUAUCAUUGGAACCCCCACCUUGCUAACCCGCUGUGGUGAGGAUAAAGAAUGACACUGCCCGACUUGCACCGCCUUCCAAAGAGAUCGGACGCAAUCAACUGCAACUUCCACGGCCCCAUCGAGUUCAUUUGAAAGAGAUGUCGUGACUAGGAUGUCACUCAUGGAGCGACCCCGAUUGGGCCGCGAUCUUCUCGAGUCAGUGAUGCCGACCGUCGAUCUGAAGGUGCGUCGAAAGAAUAAGCUAGAGUAGAUUGUCAACCACGGAUUGGAACAGCUCAUGCAUGUCACCAUCGACUUCAAGGUUAUGUAUAAGAACAUGAUCCACUUGUUGAAGAAUAAAGAGGCCAUGGAUGCCAAUCUGAUCAUUCUUUAGGAGGAGAAAAAAGAGCCCGAACUCAGUCCAGAACUCAAACAUCAACUCGAAGAAAAGCUGAAGGCACUGAAGGAGAAGAAUCAAAAUCUAUUGGAUCUUCGGCGAAAGGUUAAUGAACAGGUGAAAAAUAUUUUUGAUCUACAUACUAUCGCUGAGAAGAACAAGGAACUGGAGUCAAGGCUUAGAGAGGCGGAGAAGGCCAAUGAGGCUCAUGAGAAGGUCAUAGAGGCCUUGAAGAGGCAAAUCAAGGAGCAGGACAAGGCGGCUAAGGCAGUUGAGCUAUACAAAGCCUUCGAGGAGUUCGAGGAUGAAGUAUCCGAGAGCUCCGAGGGCGUAUAUGAUUACGCCUUUAGUUAGUACCGCAAUCUGAUCAAAAAAUUGUAUCCCUAGGUAGAUAUCUCCAAGGUCACUCCAAAGGUAGCCGUUGAGAUGGACGUAAAGGGGGAUCUUGAGUCACCCCCUAAGUGGCAGAGGAGCUAGCAAAGGAAUCUGGUCGGUCUCCUACUGGGGUGAACAUAAUUGAAGCCAUCACCGUGGAGCCUAUAUUUUGUGGUGCCUCUAGUAAAGAUCGAAGUCCUCGAGGCUGGCAAGAAGUCAGAGUCCACCCCAGCCGCAGAGCCUACUACCAUCGAUACUAUUGGGAAGCCAGAGCAAACCAAAAAAGAACCAAGGAGAGCUUCGAUGCGUCGGUGAUCAUCCAGUAGAAAUUUUUCUUGCUUCUUGGGAUGUACUGACCUGAUACAGGUCUUCUUCUUUUCUUCUUUUUUUUCUUUUUGGAAUAUGUAAAUCCAAUGCAGGUUCCCACUUUUGUACUUUCUUUUCAUAUUAAUGCAAGAAAUAUUUUUUCAAACGUCAUGAUUUAAUCCGUAUGUUCUAAUAAAUUCUAUUGCUUGCCAGGAUAAAAUAACUAUACAUAUCUUUAUAAUUCGACAGAACCGAAAACUGAUGACUUUAAAUUCAUUCAUCAUCAAUUAAUUGAAAAUCAAAGUUUGGAUGUAUCUUUAUUUUUACGACCUUGAACGGAUCAAGUUUGAGAUUCGAAGAUCGAUAUUUUUAAGAGAAUCCAAAGACAGUCUUGCUCUAGAGAUCAAUAUAGUAUCACAUCGGUUCGAAACUGACAUAAGAUCCUCUCGGUCUUGUAUUCGGAAUAAGAUUUGUCGGUUGAUGGGGGAAUCAAGCCCUUCGGGACUUUAUCGGAUUGGGAUUCGAAUUAACAUGUAUGCCCUUAGGGGUUUUACCGGACUGGAAUUUGGAUUAAUAUGUAUGCCCUUCGAGGUUUCAUCGGAUUGGAAUUCGGAUUAAUAUGUAUGCCCUUUGGGAUUUUAUUGGACUGAAAUCCGGAUUAACAUGUAUGUCCUUCAGAGUUUUAUCAGACUGAAAUCCGAAUUAAUAUGUAUGCCUUUCGGGGCUUUACCGGACUGGAAUCCAGAUUAACAUGUAUGCCCUUCGAGACUUUACCAGACUGAAAUCCGGAUUAACAUGUAUGCCCUAUGGGGCUUCAUCGGAUUGAAAUCUGGAUUAAUAUGUAUGUCCUUCGGAGCGUUAUCGAUUGAAAUCCGGAGUAAUAUGUAUGCCCUUCAGGGUUUAAUCGGACUGAAAUCUAGAUUAACAUAUAUGCCUUACGGGGCUUCACCAGAUUGGAAUUCGGAUUAAUAUGUAUGCCCUUCGGGGUUUUACCAGACUGAAAUUUGGAUUAACAUGUAUGCCCUUCGGGGCUUUAUCGGACUGAAAUCCAGAUUAACAUGUAUGCCUUUCAAGGCUUCACCGGAUUGAAAUCCAGAUUUUGAUAAAAGAAAAAACAUGACAUAUGAGAAAGAGCUCGUUAGAACAUUUUCAUUGAUAAUAUUUUUUGAGAUUUUCAGAAUUUCAAGUGUGGAGAAUAACAGAUCCGUCUAAAUUCUCAAUUCUAUAAGCCUCUGGGUGAACUACAUCGGUGAUCCGAUAGGGUCCUUCCCAAUUGGGAGUUGUUUACCUUAUUUAGUAGAUUUUGAGACUUCAGCCAUCUCAGGAUGAGGUGAUCCUUUUGAAAUGACUUCGGUAUUACACGGGCAUUGUAAUAUUUAGCAGUUCUCUGCUUAUAGGUCGCCAUUCUAGCAUGGGCUUGUUUUCUCAUUUCAUCAAAAAGAUCUAGAUCGGUCCUCAAUCAGUCAGAAUUGGUUAUCUUAUGAAAAUUUUUGACUCUAUCAGAUAAUAGGCCAAUCUCAACGGGAAUCAUUGCUUCAGUCCUAUAAGUGAGCCCGAAAGGAGUCUCUCCUAUCGGAAUCCGAUACGUGGUUCGGUAUGCCCACAGUAUACUCUGUAGCUCUUCAGCCCACAAUCUUUUUGCAUCAGUGGGCCUUAUUUUCAAAACUUGAAGGAUAGUUCUAUUAGUUACUUCAACCUCGCCAUUUGACUGUGGAUGUGCAAUAAAAGUGAGUCGGUGAUUAAUAUGAAAUUUAGAGUAGAAUUCAUUGAAUUUGGGGUUAUCAAACUGCCGACCUUUAUUAGUGAUGAUGAUCUGAGGUAAAUCAAAUCGGCAUGUUAUAGAUUUUUAGACAAAAUCUUGCAUCUUUUUCUUUGUGAUCUGGGCUAAAGGUUUUGUCUCUACCCAUUUUGUGAAAUAAUCAAUGGCUACUAUAAAAAAUUUUGUUUGGCCUGCCGCUAUUGGGAAAGGUCUUAAUAUAUCCAUCCCCCAAAUUGUAAAGGAGCAAAGAGCGGUAAUAGAAAUAAGCUCAGUAGUAGGUUGAUAUUGGAUAUUAGCGUACCUCUGGCAUUGGUCGUACUUGUUGACGAGAUCAACUGCAUCUUUUUGAAUAAUUGGCCAGUAAUAACCUUAUCGGAUUACUUUAUAAGCAAGUGACCUGCUUUCCAGAUGGUUUCCACAUAUUUCCUCAUGUACUUCUCGAAGUGCGUAGUCAGCUUCAUAUGGUGUCAAACAUCGAAGUAGAGGAAAAGAAUAAGACUUUUUAUAUAAGCGGCUGUUUUGAAGAACAUACUAUGGAGCUUGUCUUCUAAUGCUUCUGGCCUUGACUGGAUCAUUGGGCAGAACUCCUUUAGAUAUAUAAUCUAUGAGGGGAUCAAUCCAACGUGGCUCAUGAUCGACCUGAAAUACAGAGAGUAUCUCAAUAUUAGGCCUGUCCAACUGUUCAAUCAGUACCUUCUGAUUUAGUUCGGAAAAAUCCGAAGUUGCGAGGUGGGACAGAGCGUCAGUCCGGACAUUUUUCGAUCUAGAAAUCUGAAGCACUUCAAGCUCUUCAAAAUUUUCGGAUAGUUUUUUGACAUUUUGCAAGUAACGGGCCAUCGUGGAAUCUUUGGCUUCAAAUUGACUUCGGACUUGGCCGACAACGAGUUGUGAAUCUAUAAAAACCUUUAAUUUUCUGACUCCAAGCUCUUUUGCCAUUUUGAGAUCCGCCGUUAAGGCUUCAUAUUCAGCACUAUUAUUGAAAGUGUUGAAAUUGAACCUCAGGGCCUGUUCAGUCAUGAACCUUUCAAGACUAGCCAAAGUCAAACCGAUGCUAUUUUUUUAAGAACUUGA